CCUUCGGGUCUAGUGGCGCACGGGUGCGUAACGCGUGGGAACCUGCCUUUAGGUUCGGAAUAACUCAGAGAAAUUUGAGCUAAUACCGGAUAAUGUCUUCGGACCAAAGAUUUAUCGCCUUUAGAUGGGCCCGCGUUGGAUUAGCUAGUUGGUGGGGUAAAGGCCUACCAAGGCGACGAUCCAUAGCUGGUCUGAGAGGAUGAUCAGCCACACUGGGACUGAGACACGGCCCAGACUCCUACGGGAGGCAGCAGUGGGGAAUAUUGGACAAUGGGCGAAAGCCUGAUCCAGCAAUGCCGCGUGAGUGAUGAAGGCCUUAGGGUUGUAAAGCUCUUUUACCCGAGAUGAUAAUGACAGUAUCGGGAGAAUAAGCUCCGGCUAACUCCGUGCCAGCAGCCCGCGGUAAUACGGAGGGAGCUAG
rnacentral:rRNA from 1 species